GAUACAGACCUGGUAAAAUAAAUUUAAAAAUAAUAUAAACAUUUAUUUCUUGAAUCAAUUCCCAAGGCAUUCUAAUAAUGUAUGCAUUUCCCAGCAGUUAAAUAGCACUCGGGAAAACACUUUCAUCAAUCACCGAGCCGCUCACGUUGGGAUUUCCGCAGCUUUUCCGUAUGUCUACCAACGCAAAUCCAUUAAAAUACAGCGAAAUUAAUUAUUAUGUCGGUUCCUGGCUGUUUGUGUGCGUCAGGUGGGCGGCAUGGGUUAAGGGUUCAGCUCGUUUUUAUGGCCACGUCUAUUGCCUUGUCGCGUUUAUUUUGGCGGCGCCAACUUUCAUGCUCAAUUAAAACGUUUGUUUAAUGAAAACAAAUGCGCUUAAUUAAUAAACACGCA